UCUCUGUAAAAUUCUUAGCUGUUGAGUGAUAUCAACAUUUCUCAUGAAAUAGAUGAAGAGCAUUUCCAGGUGAUAACUUGGCCUACAUCACAUCCCAAGGAGUUGGGGGACAGUCUGAGUACAUAGACCGAACCCAACUCAAGAGCCUUCAAAAGAAACUCCAUGCACAUACCUGCCCCUACCACCUGUGACAUACAAUGGAACUGGAAGUCAUAUAUCAUCAUAUCAUAUCAUCUCAUAUCAUACAAGGGUGAAGAGGAGAGCCCCAGAGUAAGCAUGUUCCACACGAAAUAACUUGGAUUACAAAGUACAGUCUCUGAGGGCAAGGAAGAAGGGUAGACCUUGCACUGAGUCUGAGAUAUUCUAUGAAGGCCAUGUGCUAAGUUAGAAAACAAAUAUUGCUGCUGGGGACAUCAGACUUCCAGGACUCACUAACAACGAUGUGCGUGCUUAUAAUCUCAACAAAGACAAGAUGGGAUACAGAGACAAGUGGUUCACCAGGAGUUUGCUGACCAUAUAGUCUAACCUACUGGGAGGAGUUUCAAGCAAAAUGAAGUUGAAAUAAAGGACUAUAAAAGCUGUGGAAAAGCACAACAGAAAUAUCUUCUUCCAGCACUAUACAGCAGAGGGGAUUUACACAGCGAAAAGAGCCAUAUCAGACAUUCUCCGUGUGAACAGCCUGUGUCUGCUUUCAGACCAAGGGAAUCCAGUAGUCUUGUUCUACUGUCUUUGAGAUGGGAUGAGACCAAGGACCAGACGUGGCAAGAGCCGUCAUCACUAGAGAAAUGGGUCACUAGGUGUGGAUAUCAGUGUGAGAGACAUGAUGCUGGUUUAUGCCUGACCUUUGCUGGUUGGUGGACAGGGUAAGUAAGACUUUUCAACACUCAGUUGUUCUGUCUGUGAAAUGGGAUGUAAUACUCUCUAUAGCAUUAUUAUGAGAUUAAGGGCUGCAUUAUUGGCUAUGAUGAUUACUAUAAGCAAUUAUUAUUAAUGUCUUUAACUUAGCUAAGCACUCUUAUAUGACAACAUAUUUAGUGUGAUUACUAGAAUAUAAUACAUAAUAAACAGUUAUUAAGUUAAUAAUGGAAGCUAAUAUUUUAUUUUUGAUCUAGAAAAAUGUUAACUCUAUAUAAUUCAGUGGGACCUCCCUGUCCUAUAAGGCCAACCUGAAAUUCUGUGUUUAUUCACCUAGUAACUGGGAUGCUUUUGUUUUGUAGAAGCAGCAGAAACCUGAGAUUAAUUGCUUCUCCUGCAGGGCUUUGAGCAGUGACCGAGUAAACUUUCAGGACUCUAAUUAAUCCAUCAGUUUUCCAUUAAGUUUCUCAAAGCUUAAAGAACCUGGUUUCCCUUCUGGUGACACAGCAUAGCAGUGAGAAAAUAACCCUAGAAAACUGAUGUCCCAGGAAGAAGAUGUGACCCAGUGGCAACUGAAGCCAGCUUUUCUCUCCACCAGGCCACUGCAGUCUGUUAAUCAGUGCCAGGUGAUAGCAUCUUUCUCCUUUCUAGCUGGCCACUCCAGUUUCUGGUUCUUAAUGAUUCUUGGACUUUGUUCUGUACUGAAAAAUAAAUUCAUGGUGCCAGCCUAGACUUCUUAGUUUGUGACAAAUUCGCUUCAUGGAGUAAGAUUUUGAAAGUGUUUAAGGAUAAAAUAGUCUCUCCUGAAAUCACUUCUGCCUCAUCAGAAACUUCUUCCUGACAACCAUCCCAGGGCAGCUCUGAGGAGAACAGUGUGUGUUUUUGUGUCUUAGUAGAAAGGUUGCAUUGACUAGACUGAGAGCAUGUGGGCUGUGCAAUAUUCUAGGGGAGAGGGUUAGCUGGACUUUCAAACAACUUAGAUAUGGGAAAUGAACAAAAGGAAAGAAAGAACUCAGGCUGGGGAUGGAUGGUGGUAUCAUCCUCAGGGAGUGUGACUGAGGCAAGAAGGGUACUGAGCCUAUGAAAGGAAACGAGAGUGUUGUUUUGUCUGUGUUAAGUCUGAGGUUCCUGUCAGACAGCUAAAUGUCAAGGAAGCUCUGGGAACAGUGUAGGAACUUGGUACAAGUGUGGUAAGUAGUGUUCCUCACACUAUUCUGUAAAGCAAACGAAACAGGCUCAGAGAAAGCCUUGGCGUGGGAAUAAAAUAAACAUCACCACUAUCACAACACUAAGAGAUUUUUCAAGCCAAUCUGACAGCAAGAAAGAUGGUAGAGAAGCCCAGAGUUAACAGCUCUCAAGGGAGCUCACACAGGCGUCCAAUGCUGCCCUAAUCACUGAUACACAUAGUAUAUCUCUGUGAGCUCACCGAGAGCCCAAGAGCCCCAUACCUAGGAGGCUGAGGCUCCAGAGGCUUGAGUGACUUAGUUGAGCAUCACAGCUGGGUGUGGGCAAGGAUGAGACUGCUAAGUCCUCAGAUCCUUAACCUGAGUUCAGAAUAAAGGAGGCAGCUGCUCCUCCCAGGAUCUGCCAUAAGUGGGACAGAAAAAUGACCAAAAGUGCCAGCCAGGUUUGUUCUACCCUGUGAGAAACCUAUCUAUGGAGCAACAGCCCUGGGGACAAUGCCCCUUGUGCCCGCAGAACCUGAGCUAAUAGGAGAUAGAGAGGAAUAUCAUGAAAUAAAUAUAUAAUUAAG
rnacentral:sRNA from 1 species